rnacentral:misc_RNA from 1 species
UUGACUUAUUUGUAAGUUACUCAGAGAGACCGGUAAUAAACAAUAGUUAAGGUGUCCUCCGGCGGGCGCCCCGCAAGCGGAGCAGAGGCCCAGGGGCCAACCGCCGAAGCAACGAUACGGGGUACGUUCACAAUGGUAUGUGGGAGUUUUGCAACUCUUUAAUGAUCCCUCCGCUGGUUCACCAACGGAGA